rnacentral:rRNA from 1 species
UACGUAGGGGGCAAGCGUUGUCCGGAAUCAUUGGGCGUAAAGCGCGUGUAGGCGGCUCGGUAAGUCUGCUGUGAAAGUCCAGGGCUCAACCCCGGGUCGGCCGUGCGGACUGCCGCGCUGGAGCACUGUAGAGGCGGGUGGAAUUCCGGGUGUAGCGGUGGAAUGCGUAGAGAUCCGGAAGAACACCGGUGGCGAAGGCGGCCCGCUGGGCAGUGGCUGACGCUGAGGCGCGACAGCGUGGGGAGCAAACAGG